GCACCCGCUAAUUCCUCAGCAGCCGGUAUCGAGGUUCAGGGCUAUCGGAUACUGGGCGUAGGCAGCAGGCGUCGUCAGUCGAUUGGAUUCCCGCCCACCUGACUGCAUCGACCUGCCAGCUAGAGUCUUGUAGAAGGGGGUAGAUCAGGUGUAGCGGUGAAUGCGUAGAAGAUCUGAGAUACGGGGGCGAGGCGGCCCCUGACAAAGACUGACGUCAGGUGGGGAAAGCGGGGGGGAGCAAACAGGAUAGAUACCUGGUAGUCACGCCGUAAACGAUGUCGAUUUGGAGGUUGUGCCCUUGAGGCGUGGCUUCCGGAGCUAACGCGUUAAAUCGACCGCCUGGGGAGUACGGCCGCAAGGUUAAAACUCAAAUGAAUUGACGGGGGCCCGCACAAGCGGUGGAGCAUGUGGUUUAAUUCGAUGCAACGCGAAGAACCUUACCUGGUCUUGACAUCCACAGAACUUAGCAGAGAUGGAUUGGUGCCUUCGGGAACUGUGAGACAGGUGCUGCAUGGCUGUCGUCAGCUCGUGUUGUGAAAUGUUGGGUUAAGUCCCGCAACGAGCGCAACCCUUAUCCUUUGUUGCCAGCGGUUAGGCCGGGAACUCAAAGGAGACUGCCAGUGAUAAACUGGAGGAAGGUGGGGAUGACGUCAAGUCAUCAUGGCCCUUACGACCAGGGCUACACACGUGCUACAAUGGCAUAUACAAAGAGAAGCGACCUCGCGAGAGCAAGCGGACCUCAUAAAGUAUGUCGUAGUCCGGAUUGGAGUCUGCAACUCGACUCCAUGAAGUCGGAAUCGCUAGUAAUCGUAGAUCAGAAUGCUACGGUGAAUACGUUCCCGGGCCUUGUACACACCGCCCGUCACACCAUGGGAGUGGGUGCAAAAGAAGUAGGUAGCUAACCUCGGGAGGGCGCUACCACUUGGAUCAGACAUAGUUUUCUUGAAGUGACUAAUG
rnacentral:rRNA from 1 species